rnacentral:lncRNA from 1 species
CCUCUGAAUGGCAUCCGUCCCUCCAUCCGUAUCGACUGCACACUCAGCUUGGUGUCAUCAGCAAACUUGUUGAGGGUGCACUCCAGGAGGAGGAGAGGGAGGAGCGGGGUGUGCGCUGCCAGGGUCGGCCGCGGUGCGGGGCGUGGAGGGAUGUCGGGGAGGAGCUGGCGGUGCUGCGGCACGCAGAGGCGAUGCGUGCGGUGCCAGCGAGUGCGUGGAGCUGAAGGAAGGUGUGUACAUGUCCUUGCUCUGGCUGUCAGUGAGCGGGACGAGUCGGGGCUGCAGUUCUGUGCUGGUGUUUGUGCUGGGACCGGCUGCCUGAGCAGAAUGGGGCAGCGAGAGGGAGGUUGGACAAGCGGCAGCAUCAGGAGCACGGCCCGGUUCUGCUGUGCUGAUGGUGCUGUACGGCUGUGGGUCCCCACUGAGGGUCGGUGAGGCAGCGUGGCCCCGUGUGUGGACGUGGGGAUGUAAUGAGAGUGAGUGGAUGCAAAUGGAGUCGGAGGUGUUACAAGGAGAGGCUCUGGAUUGGAACAGGGAGAGCAGAGCUGGUGUGUCCCAGCAGGCAGGCGUAGUCAGAGGUGUUACAAGGAGAGGCUCAGGAUUGGAACAUGGAGAGCAGAGCUGGUGUGUCCCAGCAGGCAGUGCGUGGUCAGGUGCCCUUGGGAGCCUGCCUGUUUCUUGGUGCUGAGCUCAGGAGCCCCAUCAGAUCAGCGUGGUGCUCUGCGUGCUGCGUAAUGGCAGCGCCAAGAGAUUCCCUUGUGGAAGAAAGGGGGAGGAUGAAGGAGGCGCAGGGCCCUUUUCUCAGGGCCAGCUCGUCUGUGCCUCCUUGCUGACCGAGAGAAGGGCUGCCCGCUGGGCACAGGCAGUGCCUUCUGGCUCCCGUGCCGUGCCCUGUCCUCCAGCCCCUCUCAGCCAUGUGGAACGCCAGUGCCAGCAGUGCCAGCAGUGCGGCCGCCAUGUUAGAACCCUGGCCAUGUCACCUUGGUCACCUUGGUCACCGUUGCCCAAGCGGUGGGCAACCGCACUCCGCCUCUUAGAUCUCCGGCCGAUAACAGCACAUGUGGAGGGCCUAAGAGCAGACGAGGCUGGAG